AUGAAAUAUCUAAGAGAGCUGAAGGAUUGCAAACCAAAGACAUCUCCAUUACAAGCAGGGCCGGUAACUCUUCAUCAACGGCGGGAAGCAUGGAUCCCACCGCCACCUGGGUGCGUGAAGAUAAAAGUGGAUGGGGCAGUGGAUCGUCACGGGAAUGGAGGCGCUUUCAGUGCAGUUUGCAGGGACUCCACUGGUACGUUUCUUCGAGCUUCAGCCAUACGAUGCAGGGAUAUAUAUGAUCCAUCAAUUCUGGAGGCGCUAGCUUGUCGCGAAGGUUUGGCACUGGCCAAUGAUCUGGGAGCUGCGCAUGUGCUAAUAGCAUCUGAUUGCAAGGGGGUUAUCCAGGAUAUUGCAAACAACACCGGAGGAGUGUACGGCCCGGUUGUGAGGGAAGUAAGGGAGACAUCCACGAUGUUUCAGCUUUGUACUUUCAAGUUUGAAGGUAGAGAGACUAAUAUAGAGGCACAUAGACUCGCUAGACAUGCCUUGGGUCUGUAUCAUGGAUGA
rnacentral:rRNA from 1 species